rnacentral:rRNA from 1 species
GCAGAACGCGAAGAACCUUACCAGGUCUUGACAUCCCUCUGAAUCCUCUAGAGAUAGAGGCGGCCUUCGGGACAGAGGAGACAGGUGGUGCAUGGUUGUCGUCAGCUCGUGUCGUGAGAUGUUGGGUUAAGUCCCGCAACGAGCGCAACCCUUGUAUUUUAGUUGCCAGCACAUUAAGGGUGGGCACUCUAGAAUGACUGCCGGUGACAACCGGAGGAAGGCGGGGAUGACGUCAAAUCAUCAUGCCCCUUAUGACCUGGGCUACACACGUACUACAAUGGCCAGUACAACGGGAAGCGAAGUCGCGAGACGGAGCCAAUCCUAUCAAAGCUGGUCUCAGUUCGGAUUGCAGGCUGCAAC